rnacentral:rRNA from 1 species
GACAGAGGGUGCAAACGUUGUUCGGAAUUACUGGGCGUAAAGCGCGUGUAGGCGGCCAUCUAAGUCGGGCGUGAAAUCCCACAGCUCAACCGUGGAAGUGCACUCGAAACUGGAUGGCUAGAGUCCUGGAGAGGAAGGUGGAAUGCUUGGUGUAGAGGUGAAAUUCGUAGAUAUCAAGCGGAACACCGGUGGCGAAGGCGGCCUUCUGGACAGUGACUGACGCUGAGACGCGAAAGCGUGGGGAGCAAACAGG